UACGUAGGGACCAAGCGUUGUCCGGAAUCAUUGGGCGUAAAGCGCGCGUAGGUGGCUUCGUAAGUCCGUUGUGAAAGUCAAAGGCUCAACCUUUGAAUGCCGAUGGAUACUGCGAAGCUAGAGUACGGAAGAGGCGAGUGGAAUUCCUGGUGUAGCGGUGGAAUGCGCAGAUAUCAGGAAGAACACCGAUGGCGAAGGCAGUUCUCUGGGCCGUAACUGACGCUGAGGAGCGAAAGCGUGGGGAGCGAACAGG
rnacentral:rRNA from 1 species